GAGCCGAAAAAGUCGCGAUCGCUAAAAAUCGAUCCGCGUAAAAAGAUCGGUAGAGCGAAAAAAAAAAUAACAAUAAAAAUUAAUUUCAUUGAUUUUACGAUCGCAUUUUUUUCAUUUUUAUUUUUUUAUUUCCGUGUUCUUGGACGAUUGUGGUCGGAGAAAUAUAUUUUGAUCCCCUAACCUUACGAGUGAAAAUCCUAAAAAAACGUUCGACGCGUACGUCAAAUCGUA